GAGCAGCCGGGCUACGUAAAAAGUGUAGGGGGGGCGUCUUUGUGUCCAGCGGGUGUGUGGGCGGGAGUGUUGCACAGUCGCUCCACCUCAAGUCACUACUGCGCAGACUCUGGCUCCAAAUUUGCAAGAUGGCAGCCUCCACAAGCGGGAUAUUUUGGCUUCAUUUUUGCACAAUGGGAGGAGGCGCUGUCGCGUCGUCCAUGUUUUCUACAGUCAUUGGUCAACAUAUCAAAAAAAUGAUAUGGCAACAUGUUGUUUAGGAAAACGAGGAAGUUUUAGGAGUGAUGACAGCGAGAGAGAGAGAGAGAGAGAGAGAGAGUUUUGAUAUGAAAAUCAAGUCCUGCAGCUGAUGCAGCAGUUUAUUCUGAAGUCACAUUAGGAAGCUUUCCUGGUCAGUGAGGAGAGCUGCAGCAGCAAAGCCAAGAAGAAGCAUUUUAUGAAUCCACUGUUGCUGCUCUGCUGCCCAAAUAUCAGACACACUCACUUUUUUGUCACUUUUGUUAAGAUGCCAUUAAAUAAUAAUAUGACAUAGAUAUAGUAUCGGUGGUGUCCUGUGACUUGUACAGUAAUGCAAGCAGAGACGAUGUUUGUAGUCUCUGUGAGGACCAGCUUUCUAUGAAAACUAUAAUUAAACUAAAAAAAGUUGUUUAUAAGGUCAAAAAUAAGGUCUACUGGUGAUUUAAAAAGUAAAUAAGAUAUAGUUAUCACAAAAAAGAGCUCCAUGCUCUGUGAUCAAAUGUUUGUGCAUGUUGGAGGUAUUUUCCCUCUUUGUUGUGAUCAGUGUUGGUGUUGUUACUCAAAGUAAUGAAUUACACUUGUUACACAAAAACAUUUUGCAUUAAAAGUAAU
ensembl:lncRNA